CCUACGGGAGGCAGCAGUAAGGAAUAUUGGUCAAUGGGCGAAAGCCUGAACCAGCCACGCCGCGUGAAGGAAGACGGCCCUAUGGGUUGUAAACUUCUUUUCUACGGGAAUAAACCUCAGGACGUGUCCUGAGCUGAAGGUACCGUAGGAAUAAGGAUCGGCUAACUCCGUGCCAGCAGCCGCGGUAAUACGGAGGAUCCAAGCGUUAUCCGGAUUUAUUGGGUUUAAAGGGUGCGUAGGUGGGAUAAUAAGUCAGAGGUGAAAGCUAGCAGCUUAACUGUUAAAUUGCCUUUGAUACUGUUAUUCUUGAGUGUAGUUGGCGUUGGCGGAAUGUGACAUGUAGCGGUGAAAUGCGUAGAUAUGUCACAGAACACCGAUCGCGAAGGCAGCUAACGAAGCUAUCACUGACACUGAUGCACGAAAGCGUGGGGAGCAAACAGGAUUAGAUACCCUGGUAGUCCACGCCGUAAACGAUGAUAACUCGACGUUGGCAAUAUACCGUUCAGCGUCCAAGCGAAAGCGUUAAGUUAUCCACCUGGGGAGUACGAUCGCAAGGUUGAAACUCAAAUGAAUUGACCGACGAGAGAGNGACGACGGACGACGACGAGGGAGGAGG
rnacentral:rRNA from 1 species